rnacentral:rRNA from 1 species
AUUGAACGCUGGCGGCAGGCUUAACACAUGCAAGUCGAGCGGGGUGAUGGUGCUUGCACUAUCACUUAGCGGCGGACGGGUGAGUAAUGCUUAGGAAGCUGCCUAUUAGUGGGGGACAACAUCUCGAAAGGGAUGCUAAUACCGCAUACGUCCUACGGGGGAAAGCAGGGGAUCACUUGUGACCUUGCGCUAAUAGAUGAGCCUAAGUCGGACUAGCUAGUUGGUGGGGUAAAGGCCUACCAAGGCGACGAUCUGUAGCGGGUCUGAGAGGAUGAUCCGCCACACUGGGACUGAGACACGGCCCAGACUCCUACGGGAGGCAGCAGUGGGGAAUAUUGGACAAUGGGGGGAACCCUGAUCCAGCCAUGCCGCGUGUGUGAAGAAGGCCUUAUGGUUGUAAAGCACUUUAAGCGAGGAGGAGGCUCUUUUGGUUAAUACCCAGAAUGAGUGGACGUUACUCGCAGAAUAAGCACCGGCUAACUCUGUGCCAGCCGCCGCCGUAA